AACCGCAUGGUUCAGACAUAAAAGGUGGCUUCGGCUACCACUUACAGAUGGACCCGCGGCGCAUUAGCUAGUUGGUGAGGUAACGGCUCACCAAGGCGACGAUGCGUAGCCGACCUGAGAGGGUGAUCGGCCACACUGGGACUGAGACACGGCCCAGACUCCUACGGGAGGCAGCAGUAGGGAAUCUUCCGCAAUGGACGAAAGUCUGACGGAGCAACGCCGCGUGAGUGAUGAAGGUUUUCGGAUCGUAAAGCUCUGUUGUUAGGGAAGAACAAGUGCCGUUCAAAUAGGGCGGCACCUUGACGGUACCUAACCAGAAAGCCACGGCUAACUACGUGCCAGCAGCCGCGGUAAUACGUAGGUGGCAAGCGUUGUCCGGAAUUAUUGGGCGUAAAGGGCUCGCAGGCGGUUUCUUAAGUCUGAUGUGAAAGCCCCCGGCUCAACCGGGGAGGGUCAUUGGAAACUGGGGAACUUGAGUGCAGAAGAGGAGAGUGGAAUUCCACGUGUAGCGGUGAAAUGCGUAGAGAUGUGGAGGAACACCAGUGGCGAAGGCGACUCUCUGGUCUGUAACUGACGCUGAGGAGCGAAAGCGUGGGGAGCGAACAGGAUUAGAUACCCUGGUAGUCCACGCCGUAAACGAUGAGUGCUAAGUGUUA
rnacentral:rRNA from 1 species